AGAGGAACUCCAUCUCAUGUAGAUGUCAGGCAUGGAAAAGCCUGUCACAAGAUCUUUGAUGGAAGCCUGAAACUGGCCAUGGUGGGAGUAUUUACACCCUGGAAAUCAGCAAACAUUAUGAAAGAGGUGGAGAUGUCCACAAGAACCGUAAAGGAGUUUCUCCUGAACAAGUAUAGAUUUGUGGAUCAUUGCAGUGCAAGGGGUAGACUAUGCAAGCCAGUG